ACUAAGUAGCUAAGUGGAUAAUGCGAUCGAGUUUAAAGCGAAUGAUACGGGGUUCAAGUCCCGGAGUGGAUA
rnacentral:tRNA from 1 species